rnacentral:rRNA from 1 species
CUACCAAGACAGUGACGGUUGACGGGGAAUCAGGGUUUGAUACCGGAGAGGGAGCCUGAGAGAUAGCUCCCACGUCCAUGGACGGCAGCAGGCGCGAAAAUUGCCCACUCUUUGCAGGAGGCAGUUAUGAGACGUGAAGAAGAAUAUUUUGUAAAUACGAAUAGGAGAAUUGGAGGGCAAGUUUGGUGCCAGCCGCCGCGGUAAUACCGACUCCAAGAGUGUGUAUGAGAGAUGCUGCAGUUAAAAAGUCCGUAGUCAUAGAAAGAUAAAUAGGGAUGUGAAGUCUCUUAAGUUAGCUAUAGAAAAGCCGAUGGGGAACAUAGUAUACCAGGGCGAGAGAUGAAAUGCCAAGACCCCUGGUGGACUAAGCGAGGCGAAAGCGAUGUUCUUGUAGGUAUUUGAUGAUCAAGGACGAAGGCUGGAGUAUCGAAAGUGAUUAGAUACCGCAGUAGUUCCAGCAGUAAAAGAUGCC